GCUGCCCCCAGAAGCUUAUAGGUGUGGCUGCUGUGUUCUGUGUGUGUCAGCAGGUGGCAGAGAGGAGAGAAGUUAUAGCUGAGCUCUGCUCUGGCCUGUGAACAUCUGAAUGAUUAGUAGCCUCACACU